GAUGAACGCUGGCGGCGUGCCUAAUACAUGCAAGUCGAGCGAACGGACGAGAAGCUUGCUUCUCUGAUGUUAGCGGCGGACGGGUGAGUAACACGUGGAUAACCUACCCAUAAGACUGGGAUAACUUCGGGAAACCGGAGCUAAUACCGGAUAAUAUUUUGAACCGCAUGGUUCAAAAGUGAAAGACGGUCUUGCUGUCACUUAUAGAUGGAUCCGCGCUGCAUUAGCUAGUUGGUAAGGUAACGGCUUACCAAGGCAACGAUGCAUAGCCGACCUGAGAGGGUGAUCGGCCACACUGGAACUGAGACACGGUCCAGACUCCUACGGGAGGCAGCAGUAGGGAAUCUUCCGCAAUGGGCGAAAGCCUGACGGAGCAACGCCGCGUGAGUGAUGAAGGUCUUCGGAUCGUAAAACUCUGUUAUUAGGGAAGAACAUAUGUGUAAGUAACUGUGCACAUCUUGACGGUACCUAAUCAGAAAGCCACGGCUAACUACGUGCCAGCAGCCGCGGUAAUACGUAGGUGGCAAGCGUUAUCCGGAAUUAUUGGGCGUAAAGCGCGCGUAGGCGGUUUUUUAAGUCUGAUGUGAAAGCCCACGGCUCAACCGUGGAGGGUCAUUGGAAACUGGAAAACUUGAGUGCAGAAGAGGAAAGUGGAAUUCCAUGUGUAGCGGUGAAAUGCGCAGAGAUAUGGAGGAACACCAGUGGCGAAGGCGACUUUCUGGUCUGCAACUGACGCUGAUGUGCGAAAGCGUGGGGAUCAAACAGGAUUAGAUACCCUGGUAGUCCACGCCGUAAACGAUGAGUGCUAAGUGUUAGGGGGUUUCCGCCCCUUAGUGCUGCAGCUAACGCAUUAAGCACUCCGCCUGGGGAGUACGACCGCAAGGUUGAAACUCAAAGGAAUUGACGGGGACCCGCACAAGCGGUGGAGCAUGUGGUUUAAUUCGAAGCAACGCGAAGAACCUUACCAAAUCUUGACAUCCUUUGACAACUCUAGAGAUAGAGCCUUCCCCUUCGGGGGACAAAGUGACAGGUGGUGCAUGGUUGUCGUCAGCUCGUGUCGUGAGAUGUUGGGUUAAGUCCCGCAACGAGCGCAACCCUUAAGCUUAGUUGCCAUCAUUAAGUUGGGCACUCUAAGUUGACUGCCGGUGACAAACCGGAGGAAGGUGGGGAUGACGUCAAAUCAUCAUGCCCCUUAUGAUUUGGGCUACACACGUGCUACAAUGGACAAUACAAAGGGCAGCGAAACCGCGAGGUCAAGCAAAUCCCAUAAAGUUGUUCUCAGUUCGGAUUGUAGUCUGCAACUCGACUACAUGAAGCUGGAAUCGCUAGUAAUCGUAGAUCAGCAUGCUACGGUGAAUACGUUCCCGGGUCU
rnacentral:rRNA from 1 species